rnacentral:rRNA from 1 species
UACGGAGGGUGCAAGCGUUAUCCGGAUUCACUGGGUUUAAAGGGCGCGCAGGCGGACAUGUAAGUCAGUGGUGAAAUACCUGAGCUUAACCCGGAAACUGCCAUUGAUACUAUCUGUCUUGAAUAUCCUGGAGGUGAGCGGAAUAUGUCAUGUAGCAGUGAAAUGCGUAGAUAUGUGGAGGAACACCGAUGGCGAAGGCAGCCCCCUGGGCUAACACUGACGCUCAUGCACGAAAGCGUGGGGAGCAAACAGG